rnacentral:rRNA from 1 species
CAGCAGCCGCGGUAAUACGUAGGGUGCGAGCGUUAAUCGGAAUUACUGGGCGUAAAGCGUGCGCAGGCGGUUGUGUAAGACAGGUGUGAAAUCCCCGGGCUUAACCUGGGAACUGCGCUUGUGACUGCACAGCUAGAGUAUGGCAGAGGGGGGUGGAAUUCCACGUGUAGCAGUGAAAUGCGUAGAGAUGUGGAGGGACACCGAUGGCGAAGGCAGCCCCCUGGGCCAAUACUGACGCUCAUGCACGAAAGCGUGGGGAGCAAACAGGAUUAGAUACCCCUGUAGUCCCUGUCUCUUAUAC